ACAUCUUUUAUAUUCCAUACACAGAUAAAAAUUUUACAAAGUGAAUUUACACGGUGUUGAAACAUCUCCGAAUAGAGUUAAUAUUUCAGAAAAUAAUUGUAAACGUAACACUUUUCGGAGGUAAUUUAAAUACUAUAUACAGGUUUAAAAAAGAAUAACACCCAAUGGGAAUGUGAAUCAACUACGUUCAGGUUUAUUUCUUUACUUUCUCAAUAAAAUUGUUAAAAUAACGGUAAACAGUGAAAAUGUAACUCUUAGCGGUGUAUAAUUUGACCGUUCCCUUCCGUUAAUCCUUGUUGUUCGGCUGUUCUUUUGUCUCGAUACGCUCACGUGUUGCGUAGUAGUGACGACAAGACGACCGUUACGCGUUCCAUGUGGUCGCAACGUAGGCUCUACGUUCUAUCUGUGUUCGUUUGGACGCCAUCGUAUACGCAUACUGAGCAGAGCAAAGGCAAUUAAUACAGUUUUAUACUAUUGGUGAUUUCGUGUCCGUAGUAUGGAGCAAACGAUAUUUUUAAGGGUGAAAUAUGAAAACAAAAGGAAGUGGGUACGAGUAGCAGCAGAAAAAGAGAUAACUCUUGCAACAAUUAACAGCGCAAUAGGAAAUAUUUUUGAAAUAAACGAA
rnacentral:misc_RNA from 1 species